UACGUAGGGGGCAAGCGUUGUCCGGAAUCAUUGGGCGUAAAGCGCGUGUAGGCGGCUCGAUAAGUCUGCUGUGAAAGUCCAGGGCUCAACCCCUGGGAUGCCGGUGGAGUACUGUCGAGCUCGAGUCCGGGAAGAGGCGAGUGGAAUUCCUGGUGUAGCGGUGAAAUGCGCAGAUAUCAGGAGGAACACCGGUGGCGAAGGCGGGUCUCUGGGCCGUAACUGACGCUGAGGAGCGAAAGCGUGGGGAGCGAACAGG
rnacentral:rRNA from 1 species